UUGCUUUGUCAGCACAUAUGCUAAAAUUGGAAUGAUACAGAGAAGGUUAGCAUGGCCCCUGCGCUAGGAUGGCAUGCAAAUUCAUGAAAUGUUCCAUAUUUUU